GUUUGAGUUCCAUGAGCCACUCCAGCAAGUUAACUGCACCCAAAGAGGGGGUCAUGGAAACCCCAACUUGAAGCCAGUUGGUCAUAAGUUGCAGAGGACCGGACUUGUGACUGGUGUCUGAAGAGGAGGCAGUCUUGGGGACUGAGCCCUCGAUGUGUGGAAUCUGAUGCUAUCUUCAGGCAAUAAAGUCCUAUGAAGAUUGAGUAACAUGAGGAAGACACCUAGGAGCAGGUCAUGACAUGUAUUUGACUCAUAAUAAAUGCCAUUUGAAGGAAUGUA